UACAGAGGGGGCAAGCGUUAUUCGGAAUUAUUGGGCGUAAAGGGCGCGUAGGCGGCCAUGCGUGUCUUCCGUGAAAUCCCUCGGCUUAACUGAGGACGUGCGGAAGAAACUGCAAGGCUCGAGUCCGGGAGAGGGGGGUGGAAUUCCCAGUGUAGCGGUGAAAUGCGUAGAUAUUGGGAGGAACACCGGUGGCGAAGGCGGCCCCCUGGACCGGUACUGACGCUGAGGCGCGAAAGCGUGGGGAGCAAACGGG
rnacentral:rRNA from 1 species